rnacentral:rRNA from 1 species
CCUGCGGGAGGCAGCAGUGGGGAAUAUUGGACAAUGGGCGAAAGCCUGAUCCAGCCAUGCCGCGUGUGUGAAGAAGGCCUUCGGGUUGUAAAGCACUUUCAGUGGGGAAGAAAGCCUUGGGGCUAAUACCCUCGAGGAAGGACAUCACCCACAGAAGAAGCACCGGCUAACUCCGUGCCAGCAGCCGCGGUAAUACGGAGGGUGCGAGCGUUAAUCGGAAUUACUGGGCGUAAAGCGCGCGUAGGCGGUCUGAUAAGCCGGUUGUGAAAGCCCCGGGCUCAACCUGGGAACGGCAUCCGGAACUGUCAGGCUAGAGUGCAGGAGAGGAAGGUAGAAUUCCCGGUGUAGCGGUGAAAUGCGUAGAGAUCGGGAGGAAUACCAGUGGCGAAGGCGGCCUUCUGGACUGACACUGACGCUGAGGUGCGAAAGCGUGGGUAGCAAACAGGAUUAGAUACCCCGGUAGUC